rnacentral:hammerhead_ribozyme from 1 species
AUUCAACUGACGAGUCCCAGAUAAGACGAGACGUGCAUCCUGGAU